GAUGAACGCUAGCGGCAGGCCUAACACAUGCAAGUCGAGGGGUAACGUGAGUGCUUGCACUUGACGACGACCGGCGCACGGGUGCGGAACGCGUAUGGAACCUACCUUUAUCAGGGAGAUAGCCCAUGGAAACGUGGAUUAAUAUCCCAUAGUAUUAUUUUAUCGCCUGAUAGAAUAAUUAAAGAAUUUCGGAUAGAGAUGGCCAUGCGUAUCAUUAGCUAGUAGGCGAGGUAACGGCUCACCCAGGCGACGAUGAUUAGGGGUCCUGAGAGGGAGAUCCCCCACACUGGUACUGAGACACGGACCAGACUCCUACGGGAGGCAGCAGUGAGGAAUAUUGGGCAAUGGAGGCAACUCUGACCCAGCCAUGCCGCGUGCAGGAAGACGGCCCUACGGGUUGUAAACUGCUUUUAUUUAGGAAUAAACCCUUCUACGUGUAGAAGGCUGAAUGUACUAAACGAAUAAGCACCGGCUAACUCCGUG
rnacentral:rRNA from 1 species